rnacentral:tRNA from 1 species
AACUAAUUAGUAUACAAUUAUACGUUUGUUUUGAAAACAAGAAAAGGUUCAACCAUUAGUUU